GUCCAAAUCAAGCCGAAAGACCAAAGUCAGACGACAACAUCCAUCCAUCCGUUACCUGAGCCACUUAUCCUCACAAAGAUUGAAGGAGUGCUGGAGCCUUUCCCAGCUGUCAAUGGGCUGGAGGCAGGGUACACCCUGAACUGGAUGCCAGCCAAUCGCAGGGCAUGUAGAGACAAACAGCUGCUGAAAAAGGCCCUGUCAUGGUCCUGCCGAUCCAGCCCUGGCUGUGAGGGUUGCUGCACGGCCACGCUGAUUGGGAGGCGCACACUGAUGGGCUGAUUGGCCCCGGUGUAUAUAGGACCAUGGGGACGACUGGUCCGGCGCCAGAUCGUCGCAACUCAUGCCCCGUUCCAGCACUCCCGUAUCUCUGAUCGUAUUGCCGUGUGUACCGACCUCCACCUGUUCUCCGACCGACCCCACCUGCUCUCUAUGCCCGACGUCCUGACUACCGCUGCUGCACCUGACUGCCUGCCCGAUCCCCG